AAUCCGUGUGGGCCAAUCAGUCACUGAAUGGCCGCUGACUUAGUGGACACAACACCCAGCCAAAGGUGAUCGAGUUUCAUGGUUUUCAGCGUCAUACUGGGAUAAGCCCCACGCACGUAUAACAACAAGGCAGAUUUACAACUUCCGCGGUGGCGGACGCCCAACAAAUUAGUCACAGUCGUCGGUCAGCCAAGAAGCCGGAGCAGAGCACGUUAGAUUUCGACGUGACUCACGCCCUCUGUGGACCUUUGGGUCACAUUUGGUCCAAAAAAAGUCAACUUGGAAGGGGAUGCCAACAGCUCUGUCAUGACAGAACUUUAAUGUCUGCUUACAACAAUUACUGAUCAUAGGUAUACAUCAUGCUCCAGCACCCCCCCUUAUAGAAACAGCGUUUUCUUCAUUGAAUGACAAACAGAGGGAGGCAUCUUGUACAACAAAAUACCCGAGCCCUGGUCAUGUGCGGUAUCAGGCAGGAUUAAAGUGUACCAAAUGCAUGCUUUGGGGAGCUACCCAGUGUUGGCUUGGAUGACGCAUUGCCAUUUAAGUCACUGGGUAGCUGAGCAGGGUGCUUUGGGGCAGCACUUGUUGGUGGUGGUACAGGAAAAGCAGUGUUUACUGAUGCUAAAGUAGUUACGUUAGCUGCGUCUCUGAUGUACAAAGCAUCUUUGCCACUACCGUUGGUACAGGACUACACCUUUUAACAGCUCUGAAAAAUGGCACAGCAUUACAUUUCUCUUUGUGAGCUGCAGUAAGCAGAAGUGGAAAAUAAGUAAGAUAGCUUUGUAAAAACUGUUGUGAUUUAACAAAACAUAGCAGUGCAGAACUACAGUCUGGGGUACAGUCUGUCAAACCCCGGUCAUUUGUCUUCAGUCUUUCACAUGAAGUGGACAUGGACUUUUUUCUGUGCUUGUUUUGACUGAGAAAACACAGCUGCUUUUUCUAAGUCUUCCCGCUCCGUGGCCGUGCUGAAACCUGACACCAGGUUGUCCGGUGACGUCAAGGCUUAUUUACAUACUAACAGUGAUUGUACGUCUACUGGGGGCUGUGCACGCUUUACUGCUCACACACGCGCCGACCAUGUGAAUACACACACAGUGGAGGGAAAGCAAGAUGAGUGAGAACUGAUUCUAUAUGUAGCCCUCUAACUUAAUUCAAUGGUUAGCGUAAAGAUGUAACUUACCAUUACACUCAAGCAACCUUUAUGCAGAAGGGGUGAAUUAGUGAUUGCUACAAAAAAAAAAAAAACAACAACAACAACAACAGCGUACCACACGUAACACGUCACCUUUGCUCAUUAAUAUUCAUGACGUUAGCAAUUGUUGCUAGGCGGGUCAACCUCCCUUUUGUCCCCAAUAGCAAAUGAAUGGAAAUCGUGUACGAACGAGAUGUUUACUGAGCUAAACUUACCAAUUCUGUCUGAAAAUGAUAACAUAUAAAUGUUCAGUUGAAGAGAUAGCUUGAGUGUUGAGGGCUGAAAAAGACGGGAAAAUGAGCAGACCUGAUUCAGGGGUAGUAUUUUUUUCGACACUUUUUUUUUGUGUGCAUUGCCUCACGCCACUGGCGAUGACAUUCUCCUGUUUCAACAAGCUAUCCUUUACCACCAUAUGCCCUGUCUUUCUUAUAUAUUAUAUCCCUGGUUGUCUUAGUACAUAUCUGACCGUUCUUGGGGGUCAAUUUAUACUGUGUUGCUAUUUUGGUCUAGCAAUCCCAAAUGCUACUGAGUGACAGCCAACGAAGACUUAGUUUUUUCAUUAAUAACAAAUCUUAACUGUAUUCAUUUAUUUACACUUCCCCCAUACUAAGGUUGUUUCUUUACAACAGAAAAGGUAAAGCUGUUCAAUCUAGAGCCUACCCGUAGGCAUGAACAGGCUUACUACUAAACGACCAAGGCCAAACAUGGCUAGUUUAUUUAAAUAUCCGUAUUUUAGAAUAACAGGCCUUCAUGACAGUUGAGAUAUAUAAAUGAAAUGUAAAUUUUUUACAGGUCAUUCACUGUCAGACAGUAGCAGCAUGACAAAACGCCACGCUGAACAAUAAGUAAAAAUAUAAAAAUGGCUUACCUCUUCUGGGCAGGCUAUGGAUCAAAAGUGUCAUCCGUAGGACCAUGGCCUCCAACAAAAUGUUUACUACAUAUGAAGGUGAAUGGCUUCACUUUGCUGGCAUUCAACUGGUCUUUUGGAUGUCUUCACAAGUUGAUCUAUUGUUCAAUUUUUUUCCUCCUUUGGGUUUUUGGCUUUGGGAAACUUAUGGGG